GCCGGGAGUAGUUGCACAUGCCUGUAGUCCCAGCUAGUCGGGAGGCUGAGGUGGGAGGAUCGCUUGAGCCCAGGAGUUCUGCACUGUAGUGCCUUAUGCUGAUUUGGUGUCCACACUAAGUUCGGCAUCAAUAUGGUGACCUCUUGGGAGUGAGGGACCACCAGGUUGCCUAAGGAGGAGUGAACCGGCCCAGGUUGGAAAGGGAGCAGGUCAAAACUCCACUGCUGAUCAGUAGUAGGAUCAUGCCUGUGAAAAGCCACUGUACUCCAGCCUGGGCAAUGUAGUGAGACCUUGUCUCU
rnacentral:SRP_RNA from 1 species